AUAAUUCCCAUUCCGAACACAACCCUUGCCCAUACAACACACCACCUUCGGGGGGUCUCUCUAAGGAGGCUGCCGGUCACAAACCGGAGGAAGUUGGGGAUGACGUCAAGUCAUCAUGGCCCUUGCGGCCAGGGCUACACACGUGCUACAAUUGGUCGGUACAAAGGGUUGCCAAGCCGCGAGGUGGAGCUAAUCCCAUAAAACCGAUCGUAGUCCGGAUCGCAGUCUGCAACUCGACUGCGUGAAGUCGGAAUCGCUAGUAAUCGUGAAUCAGAAUGUCACGGUGAAUACGUUCCCGGGCCUUGUACACACCGCCCGUCUACACGGAUGGGCAGGGG
rnacentral:rRNA from 1 species